rnacentral:rRNA from 1 species
AGUGGCAACGGGUGAGUAUAAUGUGGGAAUCUGCCUUUUGGUUUGGAAUAACACGGGGAAACUUGUGCUAAUACCGAAUAAGCCCUUACGGGGAAAGUUUUAGCGCCGAAAGAUGAGCCCGCACUUGAUUAGCUAGUUGGUAAGGUAAAAGCUUACCAAGGCAACGAUCAAUAGCUGUUCUUAGAGGAAGACCAGCCGCAUUGGGACUGAGACACGGCCCAGACUCCUACGGGAGGCAGCAGUGGGGAAUCUUGCACAAUGGGGGAAACCCUGAUGCAGCGAUGCCGCGUGAGUGAAGAAGGCCUUUGGGUUGUAAAACUCUUUCGUCGGGGAAGAAAAUGACUGUACCCGAAUAAGAAGGUCCGGCUAACUUCGUGCCAGCAGCCGCGGUAAUACGAAGGGACCUAGCGUAGUUCGGAAUUACUGGGCUUAAAGAGCUCGUAGGUGGUUAAAAAAGUUGAUGGUGAAAUCCCAAGGCUCAACCUUGGAACUGCCAUCAAAACUUUUUAGCUAGAGUGCGAUAGAGGUAAGUGGAAUUUCUAGUGUAGAGGUGAAAUUCGUAGAUAUUAGAAAGAACACCAAAUGCGAUAGGCUACUUACUGGGUCUCUACUGACACUGAGGAGCGAAAGCAUGGGUAGC